rnacentral:tRNA from 1 species
GGUGCUAUUGCUCAGCUGGGAGAGCAUCUGCCUUACAAGCAGAGGGUCAGCGGUUCGAUCCCGUUAACUCCCA